AACCCAUGGUGAGGACACCUUGUAUCUCUCCCAUGCAUCGUAGAGUGUUUCUAAAUCCAUCUGCACAAAAGAAGAGAUAUCAUUAUGUAACU
rnacentral:snoRNA from 1 species